rnacentral:lncRNA from 1 species
ACUCGCAUCCUUCACCUUUCCCAGUGGUCCUGACACUAAGAAUCCCAAGCGACUCCAGGCCAGCUGCUUCUGUGGAUUCAGAACCAGCUGGCGGAAGAUUUUCUUGACCCACUCUGGAGCCGCUUCCUGUUGCAGGUGGCAAUAAUCCAUCAUCCUGCGGAGGCUAAGCGGCCACGAUCUGAAACUUGUGGACUCUUCAAGGCCUGGGUCUGGCCCUGGUUUACACAGGAGACACCAAGCAAACUCUCCAGGUAGUUCCCCACGCUUCUCCGACUUGGCUGUAGCUGAAGAGCUGGCGCACCUUCUUUCUUCACCACAGAGCUGGGGUGCUGGCAGCAAGGAAAUGCCACAGCAGUUUCUCCAAAGCAGUGUCUCCCCCAGACCAGUCCUCUCUGUCAGCUUCUCCGUCCUCCUCAAGUCAAGAAACCUGACUGAUACAGAAAGAGGAGGAAUCAUCUCCCAGGUGGAGAAAUGAUUAGGUAUUUAUUUAUUUAUUUAUUUAUUGUCUUUUCAGGGCCGUUCCAGCAACAUAUGGAGGUUCCCAGUCUAGGGGUUGAAACAGAGCUGUAACUGAGAAGGAGGGAACCGAACUGCAUCUGUGACCUACACUACAACUCACGGCAACGCAGGAUCCUGAACCCACUGAGCAAAGCCAGGGAUUGAACCCGCAUCCUCAUGGAUACUAGUCAGGUGAAAUACCCGGGAGCGAGAUGACUGGGUCGUAUGGAACAAGUUAAUUGAAUACGUUCUCCUUGCUGUGGAGACCUGUGGAUGGUGCCAAGCACAACAGGCCCCACACAAAGGGGGCCUAGGACACCCGUCCCACCCCUGACGCCUGGGGCCAGCUCAGGCAGGGGCUGGGCACAUCUCUGGGGGACCAGGAAUGUGAGCUCACCUUGUGGGCAGCAGCAGAACUUCAGUGGGGCACCUCCCCAACAACUUGUCCACUUCCGACAGAUCCUGCGAGCUGCACUGCAGUACCCAAUGAUGAGCAGCGGAGGGCGCAAGAGGUCCUUUGCCGCCUUUCCACCUUGCCUUCCCAUCAUACAGGACAUAGAUGUGCCUUCAAGAAAAUGCAGCGAAAACAACUAGAACAAAGAAAUUUAAACUGCCCUUCGUCCCUCCUCCAGAGGCAGCUAAAAUUUAAAUAAAGUGAAACUGAGGCUCAGAGAAGCUGAUUCGCUUAGCAUCACACAGCUGGUGAGCAGCAGACCCAACCUUUGAACUCAGGAUGGCGGACAUCACGGCUCAUUUCUAUCUCUGUAUCACCUGAAGAAUCAGAACCCAGGUCCGAGGUUGGGACCAGGAAGACACAGGAUGGGCCACAGCUGAAGGACAAGUAUAAGAUUAGCAGGCUGUGCCUACAACAUGCAGAAGUCCGUGGGUCAGGGAUCGAACCCACGUUACUGCAAUGACAAAACGUCGAAUCCGUAACCGCUAGGCCACCAGGGAACGCCAAUUCAUCACAUUUCUCAAGCACCUACAAUUGCCAGGCUUGGUGGCAAACCCUGGGACUACAUCAGGGAACAUGAUCCAUAAUCCUGUCUCUUGCAGAAUUUAAUUUCUACAGGGAGAGACAGACAGACAGACAAGAUAACUGUGUAAACUAGGGGACAUAUUAGAGAAUGAUGAACAGGAAGGAAAAGCAAAGCAGUGGUCCCAGGUGGAGUUGGCAAGAAGGAUGAUAAGAGUUGAUAGAAUGACAAGAAGGUGACAAUCGAGCAUCAGCCUGAAGAGGUGAGGAAGGGGCGUAUUGCAGGUGACCUGAAGAAUUACGGGCAGAGACAUACCAUCAACAGAUGAGUGGAUAAACAAAAUGUGGUACGAACAUGAGAUGGAAUAUUACUUAGCCUUCAAGAGGAGGAGAAUUCUGGCACAGGUCACAACAUGGGUGAACCUCAAGGAUGUUAUGCUAAGUGAAAUAAGCCAAUCACAAAAAGACAGAUAUUGUACGGCUCCACAUAUGUCGAGUACCUAGAGCAGUGAAAUUAAUAGGGACAAAAAGUAGAAAGGUGGUUGCAGGGGCUGAGGGAGGACACGUGCGGAACUACUGUUGAACAGGUACAGAGUUUCCAUUUUAGUGGAUGAAGAAGGUUCUGGAGAAUGGCGAUGGUAGGACAACACAGCAGAAGCACGCCCGAUUGCGUGUGAAAGAUCAGCAAGUGGUCUUUUGAAAGACCAGUGUGGCUGAAAGGAGUGAGUAAGGAGAAAGUGUUAGAAGAUGGGUUGGGAGACAUGUGAGGACAGGGGCAGAUGACUUAACCACGUUUCGAGUCAACGAGGACCCUGGCAUCUCCUCCAGCGAGCAGGAAACUACUGGAAGGUGGAGAAGUGGCAGCAGAUGAAACUUUAAAAGGAAAGAUUGGAGAAGAAGAGGGGCAUGAGCCAAGUAAGCUCUGGGGGAGCUUCGGAAUUAACCAGCUCCCCCACAUUACUGAUGAGCUUCUUCCAGCUAAUGGAAUAAUGAAAACACAAAACAGAUUUACUGUUCUUAAUAAGAGAGAGAGAUAAUGAAGGCAAAUUAAAAUGGAAGCUCAGAUCUGCGUGGAGAACAGCUUGCUGCCAUGCAUGUGGCUCAAAGACAAAGGAAAGCGCUUAAUAAAAAAAAGCAAAAAAUUACCUGAGUUUGUGGACCAAGAAUAAGCCAAGAACAACACUGGGGGCACCGUGGAAUAGCUACAACAGAGACUGUGUAUCAUGAGCGGGUUUGGCUCAACCUCGGGUUCUGAGCAACUGCAAGGUGAUAUACCCUUUCUCGAAGCUUCCACCAUCCUCACUGGAAGAGCCAAAGACCCUCAGGUCAGCAGGGCAGGCUUUCUGGCUCCUCUGUCCCCUUAGAAGAGGCCAAGAUGGCAAUCUUGACUUCAGAAUCUUUAUUGGAAAAUAAACACUGUUUAAUGUACAAGAAAUCCCUCCAAGGGUCCAGUCAAAACAUCCCCAUGUGGGAUUGAUGCCAUUCGAAUGGACUCCAGAUGUCCCCUGGUCUCAGUGUCCCUGUGACCUCAAGGAGGGAGGAAGGCCCUGCAGGGAGACACGUGGCGGGUUUAGCACCCAAGGAAGCAGCUUGCUUUGCCACCCCAGCUGCUGUGCGGUGAGGGUGUUUGGGUGAUUCCCUGGCCCUGCCCAGCUUCGCCAGACUCCAUCCACCUCUGCCCUCAGAGGUCUCUAUGGCCAUUCUCUUGAGUUUUUUCAUUCAACCAAAGGAAAUGCCCUGCCUGGGGUGGGGUCAGGGGGUAGGAUUCUACUCAGAAUCAGAGCCCAGUGUGGCUUUCCACAGGCCAGGUCAGCUGGAGGCCUGUGCCUAUGUCAAAGCCAGGCAGGGCUGCAGAGAAAACUGUGGGAGUGGGGGGCCGGCAGUCACGGAUGGAGGGGCUGGAGAGAAGCAGCAGAGACCAGAAGCUGAAAACGGAGGAUGGGGGUGGGAGAGGCAACCUCAGAAAUGCCUCUAUUGAUAACGUCUCUGAGGAUUACUGAUCAAAAUUCCACCCUUCCAUUUAAAUACCCGAGCUGGGAGUUCCCACUGUGAUGCAGUGGAAACAAAGCUGACUAGUAUCCAUGAGGAUGCUGGUUCGAUCCCUGGCCUCCCUGAGUGGGUUAAGAUCCAGCCUUGCCUUGAGCUGUGGUAUAGGUUGCAGACACAGCUCCGGUCCCUUGACCUGCGCCAUAACCACAGCAAUGCCAGAUCUGAGCCACAUCUGGGACCUAUGCCGCAGCUUGCAACAACACCCGAUCCUUAACCCACUGAGCAAGGCCAGGGAUCAAACCUGCAUCCUCACAGUCAAGUUCUUAACCCAUCGAGCCACAAUGGGAACUCCUACUAAUACAUUCUGGAUGUAAAAAAUAUUUAAAUAACCCAUUAAAUCAGACUUGUGCCCUUGGGAGAGUUGAGUCACCCCCAACCCGGCUCCCGGAAGGCCCUAGUGUCUGCCCUCCCCCACCCCCCGUCCCUAGAGUCAGGAGCAGGUGGCUGUGUCUCUCUGAUGCAACCCUGUCUCAUACAAAAGCUCCGAGAGCUGGGAGCAUGUCUCAUGAGCUUUGGUUGUCCUUCCUCAACGCCCCCCCACCCCCUUCUGCUUGAGGAUGACCACAGGAGAUGCUUCGAUGACAACAAGGGUGGUAAUAGUAAUUCCAGCUAAUAGCAUGGAGCCCUAGUUGAGCCUCAUAACAACCCCAAAUAGGAAGUUACAGCCAUCACUACCCUGUUAGCCUAAGAGGAAUUGGAGGCACAGAGAGUGUAAAUACUUAGGAUGUGUCCCCAGCAAGGACCACAGUCAUCCUGAUGGGGAAGCCUGCAUCCUUGUCUUUGUACAAGGGAUCCUCAGCAGGCUCUGGAGUUGAAGAGAAUCAGCACUUUCCAUCCCUACAUGUGGCUCCGAACAGGAAAGAAGCCAGAGAGGAGAAUUACCUUUGGGGACAGGAAAGCAAGAAAAAAAUCCCCGCUAAUGGGAUGAUCCAGUCUUAGUUCUGGUCCAGGCCCAGCGCUCAUCUUCCAGGCUGACUUCUGUCCCCCCGCCCCACCAUUACUGCCCAGAUAUUGGAAUCAAGGUUUGUGGGGGCUGCAAGAGAGAGCCCCAUGCACCCUCACCAGGCCUCCCUCCCUGAGAGGAGCCAUGUGUAAAUACCCCGUGAGUGGUGUGAAUUUCCAUGAUGUACACAAUUUGGGUUUGGCUAAAUCAGCCACAUGGAGGCAGAGACUUCUAAAAGUCUAGCCCCAGAAGGGCAUUUAAAAACCAUUUAUUCACUCUCCCUUUUUUUCACUCUGUUCCAGCCUCACUGCUGUUCCCCUAGCACAGGGGUCUGCUUCUGCCCCAGGGCCUUUGCAUUUAUCAAGCUUUUUGUCUGGGACAGAAUUUACCUCCUUUCUGUCUUGGCUCAGACGUCAGCUGCUCAGUAAGACCUUUUGUUACAGUUACAAACCCAUCUCCCCUUCCUCACUUUAUGUUUUCUCCCAGGAUGUUUCACGUCCUGACAUUUUACUGAUUUUCCUCUUUGUUACCUUCCUCCCACCCUCUAGGAUGUCAGCUUCAUGGGGGCAGGGCUUCCUAUCUAUUUGGCAUCCUGUGGGGUAUACCCAAAGCCCGGCAUGUAAGAGAUGCCCAAUACACAUUUGUCAAAUAAAUUAUGUUCAAGAGCAUCCCAUUUUACAGGUGAGCAAACUGAGGACCAGCAGAGGGAGGGACUUGAUCAAGCCAUGAGAUCAAAGUCUAUCCAGGUGGGAGUUCCCACUCUGGCACAGCUGGUUAAGGAUCUGGCAUUGCCCUGCGGCUGUGACAUAGGUCACAGCUGAGGCUCCUGGCCCAGGAAUUUCCAUAGGCUGCAGGUGUGACCAANGCCCAAAAAAGAAAAAAAAAAAAAAAAAAAAAAAAAAGUCUGUACAGGUGUCCUAGGGCUGCUGGAACAAAUUAUCACAAACUUGGUAGCAUAAAACAUCUAUUCAUUCACUCGCAAUUCUGGAGACCAGAACUAUGAAAUGAAGGUGUCAGCAGAGGCUCUUAGGCAGGAUCUUUCUUGCCUCUAAAGCUUCAGGGGACCCCAGGCUCCCUCGGCUUGUGGCCGCCUCCCUCCAAUCUCUGUCUCUGUCUUCACAGGGCCCUCUCCCUGUGUCUCUGUGUUCCUCUCCUUCAUCCUAUAAGGACACUGGUCAUUGGAUUUAGAGCCCACCCCAGCCUCAGGAUAACCUCACCCCAAGACCCUCAACUAAUUACGUCUGUCAAGACCCUCUUUCCAAAUAGGGUUCCCUUCUGAGGUUCCAGGUGGACAGGAAUUUAGGAGAACACUGUUCAACCACCGCACUGGCAGAGCUGACUAGAACUCAGGUCUCCCCCGCCACCCCCCGACCACAGCCCCCUCAGGGGCUCCACUAGAGUCUCUGCUUUGAGAGGUUAGGUUGGCAGCCGACGGCUGUGGCUGUCAGUCUCCCGUGAACUUGUCAAGUAGGAGAGGGAAAAAAUAAACUCUGGGGUUAAUGAAAGCAGCGAGAUGAUCUCGGCUGAUCCCCCCUAAUCCCCUGCUCUGAGCUCGGCUUUCCAUCAUCAGUCGAGGCUUCUUUUUUUCCCCUUCUUUGUCCGAGUUUCCCCAGAGAAGCAAGCCUUCCAAAUUUAAUAAACUUCCCCCGCCCCCAGCUUUCCCUAAAAUAAAGUAACAGCAGGAUGAUUUUCAAAUGUC